rnacentral:rRNA from 1 species
GACAGAGGGGGCAAGCGUUGCUCGGAAUCACUGGGCGUAAAGGGCGCGUAGGCGGGAUGGCAAGUCGGUCGUGAAAUCCUUCGGCUCAACCGAAGAACGUCGGCCGAUACUGCCGUUCUUGAGGGAUGCAGAGGAGAUUGGAAUUCCCGGUGUAGCGGUGAAAUGUGUAGAGAUCGGGAGGAACACCGGUGGCGAAGGCGGGUCUCUGGGCAUCUCCUGACGCUGAGGAGCGAAAGCGUGGGGAGCGAACAGG